AGAGUUUGAUCAUGGCUCAGGAUGAACGCUAGCUACAGGCUUAACACAUGCAAGUCGGAGGGGAAACGACAUCGAAAGCUUGCUUUUGAUGGGCGUCGACCGGCGUACGGGUGAGUAACGCGUAUCCAACCUGCCCACCACGUUGGGGAUAACCUUGCGAAAGUAAGACUAAUACCCAAUGACGUCUCUAGAAGACAUCUGAAAGAGAUUAAAGAUUUAUCGGUGAUGGAUGGGGAUGCGUCUGAUUAGCUUGUUGGCGGGGUAACGGCCCACCAAGGCGACGAUCAGUAGGGGUUCUGAGAGGAAGGCCCCCCACAUUGGAACUGAGACACGGUCCAAACUCCUACGGGAGGCAGCA
rnacentral:rRNA from 1 species